rnacentral:rRNA from 1 species
UACAGAGGGGGCAAGCGUUAUUCGGAAUUAUUGGGCGUAAAGGGCGCGUAGGCGGCCUGGCAAGUGGAAGGUGAAAUCCCUCGGCUUAACCGAGGAACUGCCCUCCAAACUGCUUGGCUUGAGUCCGGGAGAGGUGAGUGGAAUUCCCAGUGUAGCGGUGAAAUGCGUAGAUAUCGGGAGGAAUACCAGAGGCGAAAGCGGCAUACUGGACGGUAACUGACACUCAAUUGCGAAAGCGUGGGGAGCAAACAGG